rnacentral:rRNA from 1 species
UACGGAGGGGGCUAGCGUUGUUCGGAAUUACUGGGCGUAAAGCGCACGUAGGCGGCUUUGUAAGUUAGAGGUGAAAGCCCGGAGCUCAACUCCGGAAUUGCCUUUAAGACUGCAUCGCUUGAACAUCGGAGAGGUGAGUGGAAUUCCGAGUGUAGAGGUGAAAUUCGUAGAUAUUCGGAAGAACACCAGUGGCGAAGGCGGCUCACUGGCCCGAUACUGACGCUGAGGCACGAAAGCGUGGGGAGCAAACAGG